AAUUUGAUGGUUUAAUAUAAACUUUUUCCAUAAAUCACCCAUUUUCCCCGACACAAAUAAUGGACUUGAUAUUUGAUUGGAAAUUCAUAUUCCCACCAUUCCGUUAUUCUCUACCCCUUGCUUUUGAACUUCUUCAAGUGGAUGGAUCAAAAUAAGACUUUGUUAACGAAGAAUAGACCAUAGUUAUGAAGCCAAAAUGCACAGCAAAUGAUCAAUCCACUAAUCAAUUUUUCUUGGAAGAUUUAAACCAAGCUUCUCUCGGAGUGCUCGUAUGGCUCCCCACCUCACCACGUUCAGUGUGCAAACCCUAGCUUUGCUCGCCACACCGAGGGUCGCCGCUCGAAGCCCCUGCGUGAAACCUUAGCUUUGCUCGCCUCGCCCUUGCCUGAAGCAGCUGCUCGGCACACCGAGGGUUGCCACUCAAAGCUCGCCCGGACCUCCUGCUCGUACGGAGGGUGCACUUAUGUGUUGAGGUUCAAAUCUCAGUGAAAUGUUGCUGAUAUUGGAUCCAAUACUAAGGUCUUGGCCAAACAUGAGGGGACCUUGAGCAUAUACAUUCCUGAGACCUCUACGGGCUAGUGAGUUGAUUGCUGAAGCAGUGGCGUACAUAAGGUUUGUGGUUACCCUUGUAAUCCUCACAUUGAUGAGAUGACAUUGAUGGUGUUGCAUUGCAACGGUCGGAUGUGAAUAUGAGCAAGAUAUAAUAAUGCGAGAAAGUUGGGUUGGAUUCAGUCCAAAUAUUAAAAUGGAUAAAAUGAUUGUAAUUCGAUUCUUGUGGCCCUCAGUCCCUCUCUCUCUCUAUCUCUUGUCUUUCUUUUGCUCUCUCCCUUCUCUCUUGAAUCGAUUUUCUAUUUAACUUCCUAUAUCUCUAAUGAAUGAAAUCAUUAUGUUAUGGUAA